GACGAACCGUGCAAACGUUGUUCGGAAUCACUGGCUUAAAGGGCGCGUAGGCGGCUCGCCAAGUCAGGGGUGAAAUACUUCAGCUUAACUGGAGAAGUGCCCUUGAUACUGGCGGGCUCGAGGGAGGUAGGGGUCUGUGGAACUUCUGGUGGAGCGGUGAAAUGCGUUGAUAUCAGAAGGAACGCCGGUGGCGAAAGCGACGGACUGGACCUCUUCUGACGCUGAGGCGCGAAAGCUAGGGGAGCAAACGGG
rnacentral:rRNA from 1 species